AUGAAAAAAGUAUCAAAACAGGGCAUUCAUAACUGUUCAAAUCUCUACAAUUUUCCCUCUCAAUUCCAGUCCACUAUGCUUAUAAAAGGAGACCAAGACAAUAACUUUAAAGGGAGGAAAAAUAGGAAAAAGAGAGAAAAAUUUAUUCAAGAAUCACAACAAAUAAUCAGAGUUAAAGGAGCUUGA